rnacentral:rRNA from 1 species
CCUACGGGAGGCAGCAGUGGGGAAUAUUGCACAAUGGGGGGAAACCCUGAUGCAGCGACGCCCGCGUGGAGGAAGAAGGUCUUCGGAUUGUAAACUCCUGUUGUUGAGGAAGAUAAUGACGGUACUCAACAAGGAAGUGACGGCUAACUACGUGCCAGCA